rnacentral:rRNA from 1 species
GUAGGUUUACCGAAGCAUGCCGAUAGUUCCGGCCGCCGAUUCAAUCCCGCCGCGGUGCUCUUAACUGAGUGUCGAGGUGGGCCGGCACGUUUACUUUGAACAAAUUAGAGUGCUUAAAGCAGGCUGAUUUCUGCCUGAAUACUGUGUGCAUGGAAUAAUGGAAUAGGACUUCGGUUCUAUUUUGUUGGUUUUAAGAAUCCGAAGUAAUGAUUAAUAGGGACAGGCGGGGGCAUUCGUAUUGCGACGUUAGAGGUGAAAUUCUUGGAUCGUCGCAAGACGUACCUAAGCGAAAGCAUUUGCCAAGUAUGUCCUCGUUAAUCAAGAACGAAAGUUAGAGGUUCGAAGGCGAUCAGAUACCGCCCUAGUUCUAACCAUAAACGAUGCCAGCCAGCGAUCCGCCAAAGUUCCUCCGAUGACUUGGCGGGCAAGCUUCCGGGAAACCAAAGCUUUUGGGUUCCGGGGGAAGUAUGGUUGCAAAGCUGAAACUUAAAGGAAUUGACGGAAGGGCACCACCAGGAGUGGAGCCUGCGGCUUAAUUUGACUCAACACGGGAAACCUCACCAGGCCCGGACACCGGAAGGAUUGACAGAUUGAUAGCUCUUUCUUGAUUCGGUGGGUGGUGGUGCAUGGCCGUUCUUAGUUGGUGGAGCGAUUUGUCUGGUUAAUUCCGAUAACGAACGAGACUCUAGCCUACUAACUAGGCGUUUCCGGUAUCCACAAUAGUGCUACCGGCGAAUAAAUUUCUUCUUAGAGGGACAGGCGGCUUCUAGCCGCACGAGACUGAGCAAUAACAGGUCUGUGAUGCCCUUAGAUGUCCUGGGCCGCACGCGCGCUACACUGAAGGAAUCAGCGUGUCUUCCCUGGCCGAAAGGUCCGGGUAACCCGUUGAACCUCCUUCGUGCUAGGGAUUGGGGCUUGCAAUUGUUCCCCAUGAACGAGGAAUUCCCAGUAAGCGCGAGUCAUAAGCUCGCGUUGAUUACGUCCCUGCCCUUUGUACACACCGCCCGUCGCUACUACCGAUUGAAUGAUUUAGUGAGGUCUUCGGACUGGUGCGCGGCGAUCGCCUCGUGUGGUCACCGA